UACGGAGGAUCCAAGCGUUGUCCGGAUUUAUUGGGUUUAAAGGGUGCGUAGGCGGGUUAUUAAGUCAGUGGUGAAAGUUUGCAGCUUAACUGUAAAAUUGCCAUUGAAACUGAUAGUCUUGAGUUAAGUUGAGGUAAGCGGAAUGUGUCAUGUAGCGGUGAAAUGCUUAGAUAUGAUACAGAACACCGAUUGCGAAGGCAGCUUGCUAAACUUAUACUGACGCUGAGGCACGAAAGCAUGGGGAUCAAACAGG
rnacentral:rRNA from 1 species